UGACACAUUAUCUAGACUGUCCAUUUUCAAGAUUUUUAUAUAUUUAUAGAUCUACUUGAUUUUAACUAUUUUUGGAUUUUAAAAUUUUCUAAUUAGGUAUGAAAAUAGAUUUUAAGAUAAUAUUAAGAAUUUUUUACAACAAAUUUGCAUGUUAUGAUAAUAUUUUAAGGUGCGCUUAAUUGGAUUGUUUAAGGUUGUAACCUUAUAGAAAUGGCACCUAUCAAAAAAUAUUUUAAUUUUUUUUUUAAAUAAAAUAUUUAUUUGAAAUAUAUAUAUUUGGAUCUGGUUUCUAUGUAGCCAAAUUUAUUUUUGAGAUGGAUUUUAAGACUUAAUUUUUAAAGACAUGUAAGCUCUAACAUGGAGAUGAAUAAAUAAAUAAAUUUUAAAAAUUAAAAAUAAUAACUCUAGUAAGAAAACAUUUGAACCGUUAGUUUAUAUUGUUUUUAGAUGGAAC
rnacentral:lncRNA from 1 species